ACCGACCGUUGCUGCUACCUUGACGUGGCGGUCAGGCUUGCUUAUCGUGAUGAACCAAUCGAGCUAUACUGGCUUGGACAGUCGUUCCUCAAGGUCGGUUGAAGAGCGGUAAGACUAAAAGCAGC
rnacentral:ribozyme from 1 species